rnacentral:rRNA from 1 species
CCUACGGGAGGCAGCAGUGGGGAAUAUUGCACAAUGGGGGAAACCCUGAUGCAGCGACGCCGCGUGAGUGAAGAAGUAAUUCGUUAUGUAAAGCUCUAUCAGCAGGGAAGAAAAUGACGGUACCUGAGUAAGAAGCCCCGGCUAACUACGUGCCAGCAGCCGCGGUAAUACGUAGGGGGCAAGCUUUAUCCGGAUUUACUGGGUGUACAGGUAGAGUAGACGGCUGGGCAAGUCUGAAGUUAAAGCCCGUGGCGCAACCGCGGAACUGCUUUGGAAAAUGUAUAGCUUGAGUACUGGAGAGGCAGGCGGAAUUCCUAGUGUAGCGGUGAAAUGCGUAGAUAUUAGGAGGAACACCAGUGGCGAAGGCGACUAUCUGGCACAUAACUGACGCUGAGGAGCGAAAGCGUGGGUAGCAAACAGGAUUAGAUACCCCUGUAGUC